rnacentral:lncRNA from 1 species
AUGGCGCCCGGCCAGGCAGGGCCCCGUGCCUGCAGCGUCCCUAACGUGCUCCGCCACUACCGAGCGGUCAUCUCGGAGGACCUGCAGGCCGCCGUGAGGCAGGGAGGGCCAGGGGCCGCGUGGACAGGGCCGGACUCCCGACCCCUGCAUUUCAUUCAGAAAAACCUGACUGGAGCUGUGGCCUCUGGCUGGAGGGGUCGGGUGGGAGCUUCCUGCGGUGCCCAGAAGGAGCGCGGAAUCCUACUGUCCAUUGCGUCCCUGGGUCGGACCCUGCGCAGGGUGGUGGCCGGGCGCCGCCGCGGGGCGCUGGAGAGAGCAGCGUGGACCGUGGCCCUGCGCACGGACGCGGUCAUGCGGCGCCACUGCUGGGUGCUGCGCCAGCGGAGCCAGUGGCCCAAGAGGCGCCCUCCCCGGCGGCGGCGCGGCAGCCGGAGGCUCGUGCUGCGCGCCCUGGAUGCCAUCGCCACCUGCUGGGAGAAGCUGUUCGCGCUGCGGGCGGCCACGGAGGGCACCUAGCGUCCUGCGCGCCCACAAGAGCCCGCGGGGCCUGGAACCGGCCUCUCCCUCGGGCUGGCCUGCCGCUAGGUCCCGGCCCCUCCCUUGUGGCCGCGCUCCUGGGGGGCCCUGGGCCUGCGGGUGAUGCUCCAGGCGCCAAGCCAGGACUCAAUAAAC